rnacentral:rRNA from 1 species
GGGAGCAAGAUCCCGGAGAUGGAUUCUGAGACAUGAAUCCAGGCCCUACGGGGCGCAGCAGGCGCGCAAACUUUACAAUGCGAGCAAUCGUGAUAAGGAAACCCUGAGUGCCUGUCGAUGCAGGCUGUUCAUAUAUCUAAAUCAUAUGUGAAGAAAGGGCAGGGCAAGACCGGUGCCAGCCGCCGCGGUAAUACCGGCUGCUCGAGUGAUGGCCACUAUUACUGGGUUUAAAGCGUCCGUAGCUUGACUGUUAGGUCUCUUGGGAAAUCUUCGCGCUCAACGUGAAGGCGUCUAAGAGAUACCGGCAGUCUUGGAACUGGGAGAGGUAAACCGUACUUCGGGGGUAGGAGUGAAAUCUUGUAAUCCUCGAGGGACGACCUAUGGCGAAGGCAGUUUACCAGAACAGCUUCGACAGUGAGGGACGAAAGCUGGGGGAGCAAACGGGAUUAGAUACCCCGGUAGUCCCAGCCGUAAACAAUGCGGUUAGGUGAGUAUUGGGAAUUCCUGCAGC